UACGGGGGGGGCAAGCGUUGUUCGGAAUUACUGGGCGUAAAGGGCUCGUAGGUGGCCAACUAAGUCAGACGUGAAAUCCCCAGGCUCAACUUGGGAACUGCGUCUGAUACUGGAUGGCUUGAAUCCGGGAGAGGGAUGCGGAAUUCCAGGUGUAGCGGUGAAAUGCGUAGAUAUCUGGAGGAACACCGGUGGCGAAGGCGGCAUCCUGGACCGGCAUUGACGCUGAGGCGCGAAAGCCAGGGGAGCAAACGGG
rnacentral:rRNA from 1 species